rnacentral:misc_RNA from 1 species
ACAUGUCAACACGGACAAGUUUUCCAUGACUUGCUUCUGCUGCUUGGACGUUGAAGGCCUGCUGGCAAAUCAGUCAUUUGUCAGCUCCUUUUAAAUUCAUUAGCAGGAACCAAUGCAAAACUGGCCUCGGUUUGAUAAGAUUUGAACCGUUGCCAAGGAUUGCUUUUCCGGCUUCUAAUCGUCCAGUGAAAAACUGGACUGUCUCAUACUCGAGGCAAAAAAAUCAUCAUGACAAC